rnacentral:rRNA from 1 species
UACAGAGGGGGCGAGCGUUGUUCGGAAUUACUGGGCGUAAAGGGCGCGUAGGCGGCCUGCUAAGUCAUACGUGAAAUCCCUCGGCUCAACCGAGGAACUGCGUCUGAUACUGGUUGGCUUGAAUUCGGGAGAGGGAUGCGGAAUUCCAGGUGUAGCGGUGAAAUGCGUAGAUAUCUGGAGGAACACCGGUGGCGAAGGCGGCAUCCUGGACCAUUACUGACACUGAAUAGCGAAAGCCAGGGGAGCAAACGGG